rnacentral:lncRNA from 1 species
AUGCUGCUCUCCUGGGUCAGGGCGAGAGAGCACACACACCACAAGGGUUUCCACAAGGAGGAAGGGCCACGCUGGCGCCAGGGGACCAGGGCCCCUCCACCUGGAGACCCGCACUGCAUCGGGCUGCCACGGCUCCCCAGCCUCCCCUCUCUCUGGGUGUCUGCAGCCACACGGACCCUGCCUGGGGGACGGGCGCGGGGGGUGGUGCAGGCCCGGCCUGCACAGAGGCGUGCCAGGGGCACAGAGAGAGGCCCCGGCAUUCUUCUCCCACGUCCCAGGGCCCGAAAGAUGGAUCCCCAAGGCCGGCUCCCCGCCCCCCAACACGGCAACAAGGUGCCCCACGGAGGCACAUUCAGGCCCACUGGGGCAACCUGCGCCACACCCCCGACACGACCGGGAAACCCAAACCCCUGGCACCUCCUCUGCCUCAGGACUUCCGCCAGGACUCACCGCCCCUGCGGAAACCCUCUCUCUUCCUUUGUUCUCUCCCUCUCUCUCUCUCCCUCUCGGUCCCACCCGCUGUCACCCUUUCCCUGGCGAGCGCGCGCGCACCGAAGCUUUCUCUCCUUUGCUGGACCCAUCCGACGCACGAUCAGCCACUUGCCCUCACAAGAGUCUGUCCGUGCCAGCCGGCUCUCCAGGAACCCCAGCACGGGAGCACUGAUGCCACCCUGCCCUGACGAAGGGUGACGGCCACCAACUCCCCUUGACCUCUCCAUGAUGCGGAAUCCCCUCAGCGCCCGUAAGACCCCCCCGGAGCCGUUCCCGUGCCCAGCAGCAGGCACGAACCCCCUGACGAGACGUGGUCGCUACCCGGCGGUUCCCGCCCGCACCAAGCCCCUCCCAGUCCCGACCACACACCAACCGGGACACCCAAGUCGGCCGGGAGACACGGCUCAAAUCCCCACAGGGCGUGGGACAUUCCCC